UACGAAGGGUGCAAGCGUUGUUCGGAAUUACUGGGCGUAAAGCGCGCGUAGGCGGGCCGGUAAGUCGAUUGUGAAAGCCCUGGGCUCAACCCGGGAAUUGCAGUCGAAACUGCCGGUCUUGAGUGCCUGAGAGGAUGGCGGAAUUGCCGGUGUAGUAGUGAAAUACGUAGAUAUCGGCAAGAACACCUGAGGCGAAGGCGGCUAUCUGGCGGUGCACUGACGCUAAGGCGCGAAAGCGUGGGGAGCAAACAGG
rnacentral:rRNA from 1 species